rnacentral:rRNA from 1 species
GACGAACCGAGCGAACGUUGUUCGGAAUCACUGGGCUUAAAGGGCGCGUAGGCGGGCUGCCGCGUCCGGGGUGAAAUCCUCCGGCUCAACCGGGGAACGGCCUCGGAUACGGGCGGUCUCGAGGGGGGUAGGGGCAUCUGGAACUGUGGGUGGAGCGGUGAAAUGCGUUGAUAUCCACAGGAACUCCGGUGGCGAAGGCGAGGUGCUGGACCGAUUCUGACGCUGAGGCGCGAAAGCCAGGGGAGCAAACGGG